GGGAAACAAGUGAUCUAGCUGAGGAUAGCUAGUGUCGGAGUUUCCGACGUUUUGUAUUCGGAUUGAAUACAAAGGAUAGUGGAUUGAAAUUCCCAAGUAGGAUCUUGGGGAGUGGAUGUAGGUGCAAGGUUAGCACCGAACCACUAUAAAUCCUUGUGUUUGUGGUGUGCUUUAUCGCUUCACUUUAUUUCUUUAUUAUAUUCUUGCAUUCCUGCUUUAAGUAAUUAACAUUGAA
rnacentral:lncRNA from 1 species